rnacentral:rRNA from 1 species
GACGAACGCUGGCGGCGUGCUUAACACAUGCAAGUCGAACGGAAAGGCCCUGCUUUUGUGGGGUGCUCGAGUGGCGAACGGGUGAGUAACACGUGAGUAACCUGCCCUUGACUUUGGGAUAACUUCAGGAAACUGGGGCUAAUACCGGAUAGGAGCUCCUGCUGCAUGGUGGGGGUUGGAAAGUUUCGGCGGUUGGGGAUGGACUCGCGGCUUAUCAGCUUGUUGGUGGGUAGUGGCUUACCAAGGCUUUGACGGGGAGCCGGCCUGGGAGGGUGACCGGCCAACGUGGGGUCGGGACGCGGGCCCGGCCUCCUCCGGGGGGCGGGGGGGGGGAAUUUGGCCAAGGGGGCGGAGUCCGGAGGCAGCACCCCCGGGGGGGGGAGGGGGGCCUUGGGUUUGUAACCCGCUUUCGCCGGUGACGAAGCGGGGGUGACGGUAAGGGAUAAAAAAGCCCCGGCUAACUACGUG